AAACCUCCCCAAAUCCAACACUUCCAGCAUGUCCAAACUGGGAAACAGGCGGCAGAGUAACACGGGGCAAGGAGCCUGUUUGUGUGCUGUGUGGCCACGUUCUGCUGUGACUGGAUCUUGUCUUCUGCCUGGCUCCUCGAUUUCCGUCCGGCUGGAUUUGGGGACAACACUGCCUGGCGCAGACAGAUCAAAUGACACUUCAAAGAAGCAUAAAAUGAACAGACUAUUCAAACAAAGGUAAUUUACAUUUUUUUAUUUGAUAAAACCUGACUGAUGUACAAAACGAAAAUAGAAUAUUGUUUACUGGAAAACAGGUCUACAAUCUCUCACACAUCUUCUCUUGCAACAGAUAGAAUUCCAGAAACAUCUAAGUUCCUCUGUGUACAGUUAUUUCUCCUGUAGGAGCCUUUGUAUGGAUGUAAUACACACAUAUAUGUAUAUGCAUAGAGCAUGACAUAAAUAAAACCUGCAAUAGCCUAUAAGAAAGAAGCUCCUAUUUAGAGGAAAGGGUAAGAUACUUUUAUUAUAAUGAAAGCCAGUUCACUUCAUCACUUGGACCAUGGACACUAAUGUAAAUAAAAUGGCUUAAAAAAUAAGACAAUAGUAGUAUUGACUGUAGACUACAAUUUGCACAUUUGUAAUUCUUAUAAAUGAAAUAUUUAAAAUGAUUUGGUGUUGGGCCAGUUCCUUAUGCAUUCUGCAUUCAUGUGUAUAGGAUUCAAAGACGUUCCAAAUAUUGAUCAUAAACCAAGUGUAUAUGAAUUAAUUAAAUAGCAUAUUUCUGGCCCAAAUAUGAGGAAAACCAUAACUUUUUACUGUAAAUCAGGAGAGAUUGUUUUAUCCCCAAAUAAACUAGGAUGUUUCAAGUCAUGUUUCAGCAAUUUGGAGACCUACAAACUAUCUGCAAGCAAGCACAACAACCAUACUCUAAUCUACUAGAUAGUAGUGAGAAUUUAGUGCUUGAAUUCAGGCUGCUUGAAUUCAGUAUAUCCUUCUCUAUGCUGAUUUUCAAGUAGAUAUUCUGUAGCUCAGCUAGAUAAUCUUUUAAAAGCAAAAAAAAAA
rnacentral:lncRNA from 1 species